UUGCAGCGAACACACUAGGAGCUUGCUCCGUCCUCUGCUGCUUGGAAAGUCCCCGUGCCUUUGGGUAGAGAGUGCCAGCGGCAGACCGCCAGGCAUCCGUUCCCGUGCAGGCAGUGACACUUGCGGUGGAGCUGCAACGCAGGGACUGUUGCCUAUCGCAGCAGCACAGUUAUGCCAUGGGUGACCAUUUCCAGGUCACAAACAGAACGGGGCUUACUCUCC
rnacentral:RNase_MRP_RNA from 1 species